rnacentral:rRNA from 1 species
UGUAAACGGUGGGGUACUAGGUGUGGGGUCCAUUCCACGGGUUCCGUGCUGUAGCUAACGCUUUAAGUACCCCGCCUGGGGAGUACGGCCGCAAGGCUAAAACUCAAAGGAAUUGACGGGGCCCCGCACAAGCGGCGGAGCAUGCGGAUUAAUUCGAUGCAACGCGUAGAACCUUACCUGGGUUUGACAUGGAUCGGGAGUGCUCAGAGAUGGGUGUGCCUCUUUUGGGGUCGGUUCACAGGUGGUGCAUGGCUGUCGUCAGCUCGUGUCGUGAGAUGUUGGGUUAAGUCCCGCAACGAGCGCAACCCUUGUUCACUGUUGCCAGCACGUUAUGGUGGGGACUCAGUGGAGACCGCCGGGGUCAACUCGGAGGAAGGUGGGGAUGACGUCAAGUCAUCAUGCCCCUUAUGUCCAGGGCUUCACGCAUUCUUCAAUGGCUGGUACAGAGAGUGGCGAGCCUGUGAGGGUGAGCGAAUCUCGGAAAGCCGGUCUCAGUUCGGAUUGGGGUCUGCAACUCGACCUCAUGAAGUCGGAGUCGCUAGUAAUCGCAGAUCAGCAACGCUGCGGUGUAUACGUUCCCGGGGGUUGUACACACCGCCCGUCAAGUCAUGAAAGUUGGUAACACCCGAAGCCGGUGGCCUAACCGUUGUGGGGGAGCCGUCGAAGG